GGAUUUUUGGGAUUUUGGAUUAUAGGAUUUUGGGGAUUUUGGGUUAUAGGAUUUGGGGAAUUUUGGGAUUUUGGGGAUUUUUGGCUAUAGGAUUUUGGGGAUUUUGGGGAUUUUGGGCGACACAAAAAUGAGGAUUUUUGGGAUUUGGGAUUCAGGGAUUUUUGGGGUUUUGGGUUAUAGGAUUUGGGGAAUUUUUGGGAUUUUGGGGAUUUUUGGCCUAUAGGAUUUUGGAGAUUUUGGGGAUUUGGGGCUACAGAAAAAGGGGAAUUUUAGGAUUUGGGAUUCAGGGAUUUUGGGGAUUUUGGGUUAUAGGAUUUGGGGAAUUUUGGGGAGUUUUGGCUAUAGGAUUUUAGGGAUUUUUGGGAUUUGGAGCCAUAUAAAAAGGAGAAUAUUGGGGAUUUUGGCCUGUAGGAUUUUGGGGAUUUUGGGGAUUUGGGGCUACAGAAAAAGGGGAAUUUUGGGAUUUGGGAUUCAGGGAUUUUUUGGGUUUUGGGCUAUAGGAUUUGGGGAAUUUUGGGGAUUUUGGGCUAUGGGAUUUAUGGGAUUUUGGGGAUUUUGGGUUAUAGGAUUUUGGGGAUUUUGGGUUAUAGGAUUUGGGGAAUUUUGGGGAUUUGGGGGAUUUUGGGCUAUAGGAUUUGGAGAUUUUGGGGAUUUGGGGCUACAGAAAAAGGGGAAUUUUGGGAUUUGGGAUUCAGGGAUUUUUGGGAUUUGGGGUUUGGGGUUUUGGGGUAUUUGGGGGGCCCUGACUCGGCCGUUCCCAGCGCUGGGAUGUCCAAUGGGAUCGGGCUGGAGAGAAAAGGGAAUUGAUGGGAUUUGGGGCUAUAGAAAAAUGGGAAUUUUUGCUAUAGGAUUUCAGGGAUUUGGGGCUAUAGGAACAGGGGGAUUUUAGGGAUUUUUGGGAUUUGGGGUUUUGGGGUUGUGGGGGAUUUGGGGGGCCCUGACUCGGCCGUUCCCAGCGCUGGGAUGUACAAUGGGAUCGGGCUGGAGAGAAAAGGGGGAUUUUGGGCUAUGGGAUUUUGGGGAUUUUGGGGAGUUUUGGGUGUAGGAUUUUGGGGAUUUUUGGGAUUUAGGAUUCAGGGAUUUUUGGGAUUUAGGAUUUGGGGUUUUGGGAGGUUUUGGGGGAUUUGGGGGGCCCUGACUCGGCCGUUCCCAGCGCUGGGAUGUCCA
rnacentral:lncRNA from 1 species